GGAAUAUUGGACAAUGGGCGAAAGCCUGAUCCAGCCAUGCCGCGUGUGUGAAGAAGGUCUUCGGAUUGUAAAGCACUUUAAGUUGGGAGGAAGGGCAUUAACCUAAUACGUUAGUGUUUUGACGUUACCGACAGAAUAAGCACCGGCUAACUCUGUGCCAGCAGCCGCGGUAAUACAGAGGGUGCAAGCGUUAAUCGGAAUUACUGGGCGUAAAGCGCGCGUAGGUGGUUCGUUAAGUUGGAUGUGAAAUCCCCGGGCUCAACCUGGGAACUGCAUUCAAAACUGUCGAGCUAGAGUAUGGUAGAGGGUGGUGGAAUUUCCUGUGUAGCGGUGAAAUGCGUAGAUAUAGGAAGGAACACCAGUGGCGAAGGCGACCACCUGGACUGAUACUGACACUGAGGUGCGAAAGCGUGGGGAGCAAACAGGAUUAGAUACCCCAG
rnacentral:rRNA from 1 species